ensembl:lncRNA
GUUUUGCUCUUUCAGGGUCAUUACUGUCCCUUAGGCUCACCCCUGGCCUUGCCCUGCCCCACAGGACAGAACCAUCCAAAUCCGGGCUUGGAUAACUGCAUCCCCUGUCGUCCAGGCUAUUACUGUGAGGAGGCAAUUAUCGGAGACCCCCAGCCUUGCCCCCCACACUCCUACCCCCCUGCAGCCACAAUGGUUCCUCAGCCCUGUCACAAUGGCACAUAUACCCCACCUGAGGUCGGGGGUCUGCUAGAGGAGAGAGAGUGUUUGCCGUGUCCACCAGGAAAGUUCUGCAAGGCUGGCCAGGUGAAAGGCCUGUGUGCUGCUUGAUUCCUGUGCAUCUCUGGCAUUUCAGAGUACAGCCCCCAGGAUGCUUCUCUGCUCAACAGAGACCAGUGUGAGUGGGGAGCACAGUGUGCUGGGCCGUGUCCUGCUGGUACAUUAU